rnacentral:rRNA from 1 species
UACAGAGGGUGCGAGCGUUAAUCGGAAUUACUGGGCGUAAAGCGUGCGUAGACGGUUAUUUAAGUCGGGUGUGAAAGCCCCGGGCUCAACCUGGGAAUUGCACUCGAGACUGAAUAGCUAGGGUACGGUAGAGGGAAGUGGAAUUUCCGGUGUAGCGGUGAAAUGCGUAGAUAUCGGAAGGAACACCAGUGGCGAAAGCGACUGCCUGGGACAGUACCGACGUUAAGGCACGAAAGCGUGGGGAGCAAACAGG